GCUGAAGCGGGGUAAUUCCCUCCUGCAAUUACUUUUGGAUGGAAGUAUGCCCCUUUCUCAGUAGAAGAUGGUAAUCUUGGAGAAUGACCAUGGAGAAGGGGAUGAGUUCUGGAGAAGGGCUGCCUUCCAGAUCAUCUCAGGUUUCGGCUGGUAAAAUAACAGCCAAAGAGUUGGAAACAAAGCAGUCCUAUAAAGAGAAACGGGGAGGCUUUGUGCUGGUGCAUGCAGGUGCAGGUUAUCAUUCUGAAUCCAAAGCCAAGGAGUAUAAACAUGUAUGCAAACGAGCUUGUCAGAAGGCAAUUGAAAAGCUGCAGGCCGGUGCUCUUGCAACUGACGCAGUCACUGCAGCACUGGUGGAACUUGAGGUGUACACACACAGUUACACUUCAUGGAGUUGCAUCCAGCCAAGUAUCCAUGUUCUUCUUGUGAAGAGGCAGAGAAAAUCACCUCUCCCAAGAAUUUCCACCUUCUGAACAAGGGAAAUGUGUCCUGAAGAGCUGUACGCAGAUGGGAGGCAACUUGUUUGCUUGUUCUGCUGCUAGAGCAUUGAUUUAAUUAGAAGACAGGCUGUGGGUGGCCAUGUGCAGACAAAGAAGCACCAGACAGAGCCCAUUUAGCCUGGGACAGUAAAAGAUUCUCCUUUUACAAACGCAGGAAUGGGAUCUAAUCUAAAUCUGUUAGGUGAAAUUGAGUGUGAUGCCAGCAUAAUGGACGGAAAAUCCUUAAAUUUUGGAGCAGUUGGAGCGCUGAGUG
rnacentral:sRNA from 1 species